CCUACGGGAGGCAGCAGUGAGGAAUAUUGGUCAAUGGGCGCGAGCCUGAACCAGCCAAGUCGCGUGAGGGAGGACGGCCCUACGGGUUGUAAACCUCUUUUGCCGGGGAGCAACGGGCGCCACGUGUGGCGUCACUGAGAGUACCCGGAGAAAAAGCAUCGGCUAACUCCGUGCCAGCAGCCGCGGUAAUACGGAGGAUGCGAGCGUUAUCCGGAUUUAUUGGGUUUAAAGGGUGCGUAGGCGGAUCGUUAAGUCAGUGGUCAAAUUGAGGGGCUCAACCCCUUCCCGCCAUUGAAACUGGCGUUCUUGAGUGGAAGAGAAGUAUGCGGAAUGCGUGGUGUAGCGGUGAAAUGCAUAGAUAUCACGCAGAACCCCGAUUGCGAAGGCAGCAUGCCAAGCCAUGACUGACGCUGAUGCACGAAAGCGUGGGGAUCAAACAGGAUUAGAUACCCUUGUAGUC
rnacentral:rRNA from 1 species